rnacentral:rRNA from 1 species
GAUGAACGCUGGCGGCGUGCCUAAUACAUGCAAGUCGAGCGAACAGACGAGGAGCUUGCUCCUCUGACGUUAGCGGCGGACGGGUGAGUAACACGUGGAUAACCUACCUAUAAGACUGGGAUAACUUCGGGAAACCGGAGCUAAUACCGGAUAAUAUAUUGAACCGCAUGGUUCAAUAGUGAAAGACGGUUUUGCUGUCACUUAUAGAUGGAUUCGCGCCGCAUUAGCUAGUUGGUAAGGUAACGGCUUACCAAGGCGACGAUGCGUAGCCGACCUGAGAGGGUGAUCAGCCACACUGGAACUGAGACACGGUCCAGACUCCUACGGGAGGCAGCAGUAGGGAAUCUUCCGCAAAGGGCGAAAGCCUGACGGAGCAACGCCGCGUGAGUGAUGAAGGUCUUCGGAUCGUAAAACUCUUUUAUUAGGGAAGAACAAAUGUGUAAGUAACUAUGCACGUCUUGACGGUACCUACUCAGAAAGCCACGGCUAACUACGUG